rnacentral:rRNA from 1 species
UACGUAGGGGGCAAGCGUUGUCCGGAUUUAUUGGGCGUAAAGAGCGUGUAGGCGGCUAGGUAGGUCCGUUGUGAAAACUCGAGGCUCAACCUCGAGACGCCGGUGGAAACCAUCUAGCUAGAGUCCGGAAGAGGAGAGUGGAAUUCCUGGUGUAGCGGUGAAAUGACGCAGAUAUCAGGAAGAACACCCGUGGCGAAGGCGGCUCUCUGGGACGUGACUGACGCUGAGACGCGAAAGCGUGGGGAGCGAACAGG